rnacentral:rRNA from 1 species
UGCCAGCAGCCGCGGUAACACGGGGGGCGCAAGCGUUAUUCGGAAUUAUUGGGCGUAAAGGGCGUGUAGGCGGCCGAUCAAGUCGGGUGUGAAAUCCCUCGGCUCAACCGAGGAACUGCAUUCGAUACUGGUCAGCUAGAGUGCGAGAGGGGUGAGUGGAACUCCAGGUGUAGCGGUGAAAUGCGUAGAUAUCUGGAGGAACGCCGGUGGCGAAAGCGACUCACUGGCUCGCAACUGACGCUGAGGCGCGAAAGCUAGGGGAGCGAACGGGAUUAGAUA